UACAGAGGUCUCAAGCGUUGUUCGGAUUCAUUGGGCGUAAAGGGUGCGUAGGCGGCGCGGUAAGUCGGGUGUGAAAUCUCGGAGCUUAACUCCGGAACUGCCAUUGAUACUGCUUAACUUGAAUCAACUUGAGGUGGAUGGAAUAUUACAUGUAGCGGUGAAAUGCUUAGAUAUGUAAUAGAACACCGAUUGCGAAGGCAGUUCACUAAGGUUGUAUUGACACUGAGGCACGAAAGCGUGGGGAUCAAACAGG
rnacentral:rRNA from 1 species